UCCUACGGGGCGCAGCAGUGAGGAAUAUUGGUCAAUGGUCGGGAGACUGAACCAGCCAAGCCGCGUGAGGGAUGAAGGUACAGAGUAUCGUAAACCUCUUUUGUCAGGGAACAAAGGCGGGGACGUGUCCCCGGAUGAGUGUACCUGAAGAAAAAGCAUCGGCUAACUCCGUGCCAGCAGCCGCGGUAAUACGGAGGAUGCGAGCGUUAUCCGGAUUUAUUGGGUUUAAAGGGUGCGCAGGCGGUCUGUUAAGUCAGCGGUCAAAGCCCGGGGCUCAACCUCGCUCCGCCGUUGAAACUGGCGUU
rnacentral:rRNA from 1 species